rnacentral:rRNA from 1 species
CCUACGGGGGGCAGCCGUGGGGAAUAUUGGGCAAUGGGCGCAAGCCUGACCCAGCAACGCCGCGUGAAGGAAGAAGGCUUUCGGGUUGUAAACUUCUUUUCUCAGGGACGAAGAAAGUGACGGUACCUGAGGAAUAAGCCACGGCUAACUACGUGCCAGCAGCCGCGGUAAUACGUAGGUGGCAAGCGUUAUCCGGCGUUACUGGGUGUAAAGGGCGUGUAGGCGGGACUGCAAGUCAGAUGUGAAAACCACGGGCUCAAACUGUGGCCUGCAUUUGAAACUGUAGUUCUUGAGUACUGGAGAGGCAGACGGAAUGCCUAGUGUAGCGGUGAAAUGCGUAGAUAUUAGGAGGAACACCAGUGGCGAAGGCGGUCUGCUGGACAGCAACUGACGCUGAGGCGCGAAAGCGUGGGGAGCAAACAGGAUUAGAUACCCGGGUAGUC